AAGUAGGGAAAGUGAAUCAUACCGAGCUGGAAAUGUCUCUCUUUCACUUAACAGAUUCCGGUCAGAACUUCUUCAACAUUUCUUCACCAGACGAUGGCAUCACAGUAUUUUCAUCCACCAAUGUGGAUGAGAAUGGCAGGAGAACACGCCUGUUGCUCCUUGGUGCGAGAAAAGACUCCCUGACCCAGGCUGAGGAAAGCAAAUUUAGGCAGCUGGCUGUGGAAAAUGGCAUCCCGGAGGAAAACAUAGUGAAUCUGGCUGAUUCAGGUAGGGUCACCCCACUGCCUCAAGAUAUGUCUGGAAU
rnacentral:lncRNA from 1 species